rnacentral:rRNA from 1 species
UUGUUGGUAAGGUAAAAGCUCACCAAGGCUUCGAUCAGUAGCUGGUCUGAGAGGACGACCAGCCACACUGGGACUGAGACACGGCCCAGACUCCUACGGGAGGCAGCAGUGGGGAAUUUUGGACAAUGGGGGCAACCCUGAUCCAGCCAUGCCGCGUGAGUGAAGAAGGCCUUCGGGUUGUAAAGCUCUUUCAGCCGGAACGAAACGGUUACGGUUAAUACCCGUGACUACUGACGGUACCGGAAGAAGAAGCACCGGCUAACUACGUGCCAGCAGCCGCGGUAAUACGUAGGGUGCGAGCGUUAAUCGGAAUUACUGGGCGUAAAGCGUGCGCAGGUGGUUUUGUAAGUCAGAUGUGAAAGCCCCGGGCUCAACCUGGGAACUGCGUUUGAAACUACAAGACUAGAGUGUGGCAGAGGGGGGUGGAAUUCCGCGUGUAGCAGUGAAAUGCGUAGAGAUGUGGAGGAACACCGAUGGCGAAGGCAGCCCCCUGGGUCAACACUGACGCUCAGGCACGAAAGCAUGGGGAGCAAACAGGAUUAGAUACCCUGGUAGUCCAUGCCCUAAACGAUGUCAACUAGUUGUCGGGCCUUUACGGGCUUGGUAACGUAGCUAACGCGUGAAGUUGACCGCCUGGGGAGUACGAUCGCAAGAUUAAAACUCAAAUGAAUUGACGGGGACCCGCGCAAGCGGUGGAUUAUGUGGAUUAAUUCGAUGCAACGCGAAAAACCUUACCUACCCUUGACAUGUAUCGAAGCCCGCAGAAAAGCGGGGGUGCCCGAAAGGGAACGAUAACACAGGUGCUGCAUGGCUGUCGUCAGCUCGUGUCGUGAGAUGUUGGGUUAAGUCCCGCAACGAGCGCAACCCUUGUCAUUAAUUGCCAUCAUUUAGUUGGGCACUUUAAUGAGACUGCCGG